AAAAGUCGUAACAAGGUUUCCGUAGGUGAACCUGCGGAAGGAUCAUUAUCGUAUGACGGAGGUGCCAGGGGCUGUCGCUAACUUUGUGACGCCCCGGUGCUCUCUCGAAAUCCAUCUCACCCCUUUGUGCAUCACCGCGUAGGCUCUCUCCCUCCUUUUGGCUCGUUCCAAGUGAGGGGGGUGGGGUUUGCGUUUUUACACAGACGCCGCAUGUGUAGAAUGUCAUACCUUUUGCGAUAACACGCAAUCAAUACAACUUUCAACAACGGAUCUCUUGGCUCUCGCAUCGAUGAAGAACGCAGCGAAAUGCGAUACGUAAUGUGAAUUGCAGAAUUCAGUGAAUCAUCGAAUCUUUGAACGCACCUUGCGCCCCUUGGAAUUCCGAGGGGCACACCCGUUUGAGUGUCGUGAACAUCCUUCAACCUUCUCGGUUUCUUGACCGGUGAAGGCUUGGACUUUGGAGGUUUUUUAUUGCUGGCCCCCUUCCUUGAAGCCCAGCUCCUCCCAAAUGGAUUAGUGGGGUCUGCUUUGCCGAUCCUUGACGUGAUAAGAUGUUUCUACGUCUUGGGUUUCGCGCUGUCGCUUUUGGACCCCGCUUCUAAACCGUCUUGCAUGCAAGACAGCGUUCGAGUUGCGGCUCGACACAUGUGAUCCUUGACCUCAAAUCGGGUGAGACUACCCGCUGAACUUAAGCAUAUCAAU
rnacentral:rRNA from 1 species